AGGAUCUCUCACAUCUCUGCAAUGGUCUGGUCCACUUGGCCACAUACCAGAAAUUAUACAUCUUUACGGAUCGAAAAAAACAUAGACAGUGAUUCCCCCAAAUGACUCAACUCCCACUACAAGCUCUACAGAAAUUGGCAACAUUUUCUCUAAUAAAAAAGGAAGUGAUGAAUUAUAUAUCCCCCCUAACCUGCACCCUCUCACGCUACAACAUGCUCAUUCAACAGGGAGCUGAACUGUGUACAGACAACAAUCAUCGCAUGACAGUCUCUCUCCCUGCUGUAAGAACGCUUCUACUGAAAGCCUAGCUCAACUAUCACGCUGUCUCUAAUGUGAUAAUAACAUUCAAAUCGAGCUGUAUGAUUCACAUAAUUAGAAUUGCUUAUACGCACCACAACACUUUCCUUGGAUAAAGUAAAUCUCUGAAAUGUUGCUCUUUGUGUUUUUUACAAUGCGCUCUAAUAUAAAUGUAAUAAAAGUGUAAAAUGGA